AGUGAACGCUGGCGGUAGGCCUAACACAUGCAAGUCGAACGGCAGCACAGUAAGAGCUUGCUCUUACGGGUGGCGAGUGGCGGACGGGUGAGGAAUACAUCGGAAUCUACUUUUUCGGGGGGGAUAACGUAGGGAAACUUACGCUAAUACCGCAUACGACCUACGGGGGAAAGCAGGGGAUCUUCGGACCUUGCGCGAUUGAAUGAGCCGAUGUCGGAUUAGCUAGUUGGCGGGGUAAAGGCCCACCAAGGCGACGAUCCGUAGCUGGUCUGAGAGGAUGAUCAGCCACACUGGAACUUGGCCACGGUCCAUACUCCUACGGGAGGCCGCAGUGUGGAAUAUUGGACAAUGGGCGCAAGCCUUAUCCAGCCAUACCGCGUGGGUUAAGAAGGCCUUCGGGUUGUAAAGCCCUUUUGUUGGGAAAGAAAAGCAGCAGGUUAAUACCCCGCUGUUCUGACGGUACCCAAAGAAUAAGCACCGGCUAACUUCGUG
rnacentral:rRNA from 1 species